AGAGUUUGAUCCUGGCUCAGGAUGAACGCUAGCUACAGGCUUAACACAUGCAAGUCGAGGGGCAGCAUGGUCUUAGCUUGCUAAGGCCGAUGGCGACCGGCGCACGGGUGAGUAACACGUAUCCAACCUGCCGUCUACUCUUGGACAGCCUUCUGAAAGGAAGAUUAAUACAAGAUGGCAUCAUGAGUCCACAUGUUCACAUGAUUAAAGGUAUUCCGGUAGACGAUGGGGAUGCGUUCCAUUAGAUAGUAGGCGGGGUAACGGCCCACCUAGUCUUCGAUGGAUAGGGGUUCUGAGAGGAAGGUCCCCCACAUUGGAACUGAGACACGGUCCAAACUCCUACGGGAGGCAGCAGUGAGGAAUAUUGGUCAAUGGGCGAGAGCCUGAACCAGCCAAGUAGCGUGAAGGAUGACUGCCCUAUGGGUUGUAAACUUCUUUUAUAAAGGAAUAAAGUCGGGUAUGCAUACCCGUUUGCAUGUACUUUAUGAAUAAGGAUCGGCUAACUCCGUGCCAGCAGCCGCGGUAAUACGGAGGAUCCGAGCGUUAUCCGGAUUUAUUGGGUUUAAAGGGAGCGUAGAUGGAUGUUUAAGUCAGUUGUGAAAGUUUGCGGCUCAACCGUAAAAUUGCAGUUGAUACUGGAUAUCUUGAGUGCAGUUGAGGCAGGCGGAAUUCGUGGUGUAGCGGUGAAAUGCUUAGAUAUCACGAAGAACUCCGAUUGCGAAGGCAGCCUGCUAAGCUGCAACUGACAUUGAGGCUCGAAAGUGUGGGUAUCAAACAGGAUUAGAUACCCUGGUAGUCCACACGGUAAACGAUGAAUACUCGCUGUUUGCGAUAUACUGCAAGCGGCCAAGCGAAAGCGUUAAGUAUUCCACCUGGGGAGUACGCCGGCAACGGUGAAACUCAAAGGAAUUGACGGGGGCCCGCACAAGCGGAGGAACAUGUGGUUUAAUUCGAUGAUACGCGAGGAACCUUACCCGGGCUUAAAUUGCAGAUGAAUUACGGUGAAAGCCGUAAGCCGCAAGGCAUCUGUGAAGGUGCUGCAUGGUUGUCGUCAGCUCGUGCCGUGAGGUGUCGGCUUAAGUGCCAUAACGAGCGCAACCCUUGUUGUCAGUUACUAACAGGUUCUGCUGAGGACUCUGACAAGACUGCCAUCGUAAGAUGUGAGGAAGGUGGGGAUGACGUCAAAUCAGCACGGCCCUUACGUCCGGGGCUACACACGUGUUACAAUGGGGGGUACAGAGGGCCGCUACCACGCGAGUGGAUGCCAAUCCCAAAAACCUCUCUCAGUUCGGACUGGAGUCUGCAACCCGACUCCACGAAGCUGGAUUCGCUAGUAAUCGCGCAUCAGCCACGGCGCGGUGAAUACGUUCCCGGGCCUUGUACACACCGCCCGUCAAGCCAUGGGAGCCGGGGGUACCUGAAGUGCGUAACCGCGAGGAGCGCCCUAGGGUAAAACUGGUGACUGGGGCUAAGUCGUAACAAGGUA
rnacentral:rRNA from 1 species